rnacentral:rRNA from 1 species
AUUGAACGCUGGCGGCAGGCUUAACACAUGCAAGUCGAACGAGCGGCGGACGGGUGCGUAAUGUAUGGGGACUGCCCGAUAGAGGGGGAUAACUACUGGAAACGGUGGCUAAUACCGCAUACUAUCGGAUAACCCAUAUGGGAUUAGCUAGUAGGUGGGGUAAAGUCUAACCUAGGCGACGAUCUCUAGCUGGUCUGAGAGGAUGAUCAUCAACACUGUGACUGAGACAAGGCCCAUACUCCUACGGAGGCAGCAGUGGGGAAGAGUGUACAAUGGGCGCAAUCCUGAUGCAGCCAUGCCGCGUUUAUGAAGAAGGCCUUAGGGUGUGAAAGUACUUGCAGCGUGGAGGCGUUACCCGCAGAAGAAGCACCGGCUAACUCCGUGCCAGCAGCCGCGGUAAUUC